CUGCGACAUAAUGACAAGUUCAUUAGAAAAAACCCUCGAGCACAACUCAUAAAAAGCCUCUUUUGGAGUAACUCAAAAAUCAUGUCCAUUCAAUUUAAUUAUUAAAAUGAAAUCGAAGAUAUGUAAAUUUUGAAAGUAGUUUUGGACAAGAAAUGACUGCAAUGAAGAAAAAUAUAUCACCAAGCAUAAAACUAAUCAGCAGAGUGCAUUCACAAACAAUAAAACAAAACCAAUUAUUCCCUCUGAAUUAUAUAAGUUCAUACAAGGAUUGAAGAAACAAAAUCAAGUAGAAACAUAGCCAACAGGGAAAAAAAACUUUGAAUGAAAGAGAAAUUGAAGGGAGAAACAAAAUCUAAAUAUUAAAAGUAAAUAGAAGAGGGGGAAUCUAGUUGCGGGGGUGGGUGUUAGCUGGGUUAGCGACACCAACUGUGACCUUGGCAACGUCUAAUGCAGAGGCUUCAGGCUUCUUCUUGGUGUACAAAACGAAGUAGCCAAUAGCGGCAACAACAGCAACACCACCAAUGGCCGUUUUCAAUGGACACAGAGACAACUUGCGACGCUGGUGAAGCACCUCUGUUGAAUGCCGUGCUGCUUGAUCUGACCCUGCCAUGUCUCUCUUGGCUAUCUUAAGCUGUCGGUUUCUUUUCUUUUUCCUUGCUUUGGCUUGUGGAAGCUUUAACUUCAGGUUGGUGAUUUGCCAUGGAUGUUGCAGGCUUUAGACAAACAAAGAGGAAAGGACACGGGGGCUGUUAUAACGAGAUAGGAGGCGAAAGUAAAGGUUAAAUGGACACGUUGAGAAGUUGAAAUUUUCAAUGUUG
rnacentral:lncRNA from 1 species